rnacentral:lncRNA from 1 species
UGCACAUAGAAUGAGUAUGAAGAAAGUUUAACAAAAUAUAGGAAAGGGAAAUACAACUUAAACAUGGGAGUAUGAUGAAGUUUCCUGGAAGAAGCUGAUAUUGAGGCUUAAAGAGUACACAACAAUGAGCAAAUCUCUUCUAAUGCUUAAGGAAAACAAAAUAAAACACCCUAAAGAGAGUGGGAGGUACUAUUUAGGAAACCUUUCCCUCUUGAGAGAAAUAGGUGAUGGGGUCACACUAAAGAGAACCUUCCAUUUCUGGCUACAGCAUUAUGACUUCAGAUGAGGGUCACUGGGCACUAGGGAACCAUUCUUAGGUCCUGAACAGGUAAGAGCCAAACUACAUGCUAUGCUCUUCAGAGGAUAAUCUGACAGUUACAGUCUGGUGGGAUUACAGAAGAGUGGUAUUGAAGAUAUCAAGAAAAUACUUUUAUUAUAAAGUUCCUGAGUAUACAUUACUGACAGCUGCAGUCUCUGUAUCUCAUCCACUGACCAUACCUGGAAUUUGCUUGCAUGUUAAACAUUGUGCUAUACUUCUGCCAAAUAGUAACAAUGAUGAUGAUGAUGAUGAUGAUGUAAUGGGAGCAGGAGCAACAAUAUGUCAGUGGUUCCAGCACUAA